CCUACGGGUGGCAGCAGUGAGGAAUAUUGGUCAAUGGACGAGAGUCUGAACCAGCCAAGUAGCGUGAAGGAUGACUGCCCUAUGGGUUGUAAACUUCUUUUAUAGGGGAAUAAAACAGGGCACGCAUACCCUCUUGUAUGUACCAUAUGAAUAAGGAUCGGCUAACUCCGUGCCAGCAGCCGCGGUAAUACGGAGGAUCCGAGCGUUAUCCGGAUUUAUUGGGGUUAAAGGGAGCGUAGGUGGCUUGUUAAGUCCGUUGUGAAAGUUUGCGGCUCAACCCUAAAAUUGCAGUUGCUACUGGCAGUCUUGAGUCCAGUCGUGGUGGGCGUAAUUCGUGGUGUAGCGG
rnacentral:rRNA from 1 species